CGCAGUGCGCAGUGGCAGUAUCGUAGCCGAUGAGGUUUACCCGAGGCGCGAUUAUUGCUUAUUGAAAACUUUCCAGGACAAGGGGUCACAGCUUAAGGAUAAGGGGGAAAUCCUUUAAAACCGAGAUGAGGAGAACUUUUUCACACAGAGAGUGGUGAAUCUCUGGAACUCUCUGCCACAGAGA